GAUGAACGCUGGCGGCAGGCCUAAUACAUGCAAGUCAAGGGGGCCCCGCCUUUGGGUCGGGGCGACCGGCGGACGGGUGAGCAGCGCGUACACAACGUGCCCCUCGACCGGGGGACGAGCGGCGGGAAACGUAGCCGGUAACACCCCACUGGCGCCGCGGGGCGGCAUUGCCCGGCGGCGAAAGUUUACGGUCGGUCGGGGAGUCGGUGUGCGUCCGAUUAGGUAGUUGGCGGGGUGACGGCCCACCAAGCCUGCGAUCGGAGGGGGUGGUGAGAGCACGG
rnacentral:rRNA from 1 species